GACGAACGCUGGCGGCAUGCCUAACACAUGCAAGUCGAACGAAGCCUUCGGGCUUAGUGGCGCACGGGUGCGUAACGCGUGGGAAUCUUCCCUUGGGUUCGGAAUAACAGUUAGAAAUGACUGCUAAUACCGGAUGAUGUCUUCGGACCAAAGAUUUAUCGCCCAAGGAUGAGCCCGCGUAGGAUUAGGUAGUUGGUGGGGUAAUGGCCCACCAAGCCGACGAUCCUUAGCUGGUCUGAGAGGAGGAUCAGCCACACUGGGACUGAGACACGGACCAGACUCCUACGGGAGGCAGCAGUGGGUAAUAUUGGACAAUGGGCGAAAGCCUGAUCCAGCAAUGCCGCGUGAGUGAUGAAGGCAUUCGGGUUUUAAAGCUCUUUUACCAGGGAUGAUAAUGACAGUACCUGGAGAAUAAGCUCCGGCUAACUCCGUGCCAGCCGCCGCCGUAACAC
rnacentral:rRNA from 1 species